GCAAGAUGUUAUAGGGGAAUCAUGCUUUUUAACAAAAAUUGGAAAAAUAUGAAGGCAAGUUUAAGGAGUAGGAAAAUUUAUAGUGGCAACUGAGGUUUGCUGGCCUGGUGAUUUUCCACCAUACUUCCCAUAAAGCAAGAGGAGAAAAAGCCUGAGUGUAGGAUCUUAGCAUGAAACCACAGCAGGUGCAACAGAAGUUGGUUUAAUGAUUUUAAAAGCAAUGCUAAGACUGAAAAAUGCUUUUUAACAUCCUUCGUACACAAAAGAGUUGGCCUCAAUGUUUUGCUGCUGAGCAAUUGGGGAAAUGAGUAUUUCCAUUGUGGCCUGGAGCCUGCACAUUUCUCUUCUGACUCAUCUCGUGUCUGUAUUCUAAAAGCCUGCCAUGCGGAAGAAUGGGGAAACUCCACACCCUCAUUUCCAGUUAGUUCUCAUCAAUAUGAAAUCAGGCUGCGCUUCAGGUUACUCAAGGCCACCUAAUGUCUGAACGUGGAACAGUGGACAUCCGCUGCCUCAGACUCUGUGAGCCAAAGGGGACCUCAGAGCACAUCCUGGUUGAACAGCUUCUCCCAUCCCCCACACCUGUUUGGAAGUUGGAGAAAUAAGAUAGAGAGGGUUUGGGACUGAAUUGUGUGUCCCCUGCUCCCUUCCCUUCCCCCCAAAAAACAUUUAUGGAAGCCCACGCUGAAGCCCCCGCACUUGUGAAUGCAAACUUACUUGGAAAGAGGGUCUUUGCAGAUGUAAGCAAGCUUCAGAUGAGGUCAUUACGGUGGCCCUAAGCCAACACAACUGCUGUCCUUGCUGGAGGAAGAGAGAUUCUGGGAUGGACACACGAGAGGGGAACACUCUGUGACGGCUGGAGGGAGAGAUUGAAAUGCUGCAGCUGCAGGCUGAGGAGCGCCAAGGGCUGCUGGCAACAACGCAGAACCAAGCAGGAGAUCACUGGCUCUGGGGAAAGCCAGCUCCUAUGUUGGGAGCAGCCCUAAAGAGAAUCCUGGGAGGCAAAAACCUGAAAUGUUCUGCCCACAGCCACGUGCGUGCACUGGAAACUGCAGCCCCCACAAGCUUUCAGAUGCCUACGGCCCCAGCAGACAGCUUGCCUGCGGCUUCACCAGCCAGAUAAGCUGCUCCCAGAUUCCUGACCCUCAGGAACCAAGUGAGAAGAUAUAUGUUUGUUAGUUUAAGCUGCUAAUUUUGGAGAUGAUUUGUUACCCAGCAAAAGUAACUAAUACACCCACUGUGAACUGGAACGAAUUUAGGACUACUUCCUGGGCUACACAAAAUACAAGGCAGCAUAAAUUAAGAGAGAAAGGAGGACAGAAAAACAAAGGGUGGAAAUGGAGGUUUUAAUCAAGUGUUAAACUGGGUCCAGACUGCAGGAUGAGAAAGUCUGACAUCCUUAAAAUUCAAGCUUCAAGAAUCAAGAUCCAAACUCCUGCCCUCACUCUACCUCCUGUUCUUCCCCCAGCUCAGCCCCACCACUAACAUUUGCUCCCUCUCCUCUCUGGGCCUUUCUGUACCAUGAAACCCAGAACACACCACCACCACCUCCAUUCUGCAGCCAAUUCCAUCCUUUAGACCUAGUUCAAAUCCUAGCUGAGAAAGGGGAGUCUCAAAGUUGGAAGGACUCUAAAGGUCAUUCUGCUCAAGCUCUCAAUUGCAUUCAUGCAUCGUCUAUUCAAUCCAGCAUUCACUGGAUACCUCCAAGCCAAGAAAAAUGACUUUGAUAGGUUCAGCCCAGAAAGAGGUCACACAUUUGCAGAGGGAGAUGGGAGUUCAAAUAAUUACAAUGGAAGCACAAAGUCCAAGACCCAAACAAACUGCUGUGGGAGCACAUUCUUGACUUGUCUAGAUUCUAUCCUGAAUACUUCCAGGGACAGGAAUCUCAUCAACACAUUUAUCCUAGUUUUUUCAAAUUCCAGAAUUUUCAAAGAUAAAUCUAGCUUUCUUUUCAUAUGACUAUCAUUUAAGUAUUUGAAGACCACAUCAUAAAUAUCCCUAAGCAUCUUUUUUUUUUUUUUUUUUUUGUCUUUUUUUGUCUUUUCUAGGGCAGCACCUGCAGCAUAUGGAAGUUCCCAGGCUAGGGGUCUAAUUGGAGCUGUAGCUGCCAGCCUACUCCAAAGCCAUAGCAAUGCCAGAUCCAAGUCGUGUCUGAGACUUACACCACAGCUCAUGGCAACACUGGAUGCUUAACCCACUGAGUGAGGCCAGGGAUUGAACCCAUGUCCUCAUGGAUACUCAUCAGGUUCCUUACUGCUGAGCCACAGUGGGAACCCCUGUCUUAUAUGUUUUGAUUCCAGGCUCUUCAGCCUGUUGGCUGCCCUCAUCCAGCUCCAAACUGAAGAAUUUUUUUUUUCUCUUUGCUUUUUAGGGCUGCACUCUGGGCUAGGGGUUAAAUUGGAGCUGUAGCUACCAGCCUAUGCCACAGCCACAGCAACACUGGAUCCAAGCCGCAUCUGGGACCUACACCACAGCCCACAGCAACACCAGAUCCUUAACCCACUGAGCAAGGCCAGGGGUUGAACCCGCAUCCUCAUGGAUGCCAGUCAGAUUCAUUAACUGCUGAGCUACGACACGAACUCCCAUCCACUGAAGAUUUUUUAUACCCUUCAAACAUUGCUGGAGAUUCAGGUAAAAUGGAGGAAAGUUAUUACCGCCAUUGUUUUCAUCUUAAUGCAACCUAGGAGGCACCCUUAUUACUUCUCAUAGACAAUCAAAAUUUUCAGAAAUUCUUUUUGUUUCCUUCAUACACUUAAGUGAUCUCUCUCCUUGAAUGGCUCAUACUGGGGCUUGUUCAUACUAUCUUGUAUUGUUAGUUAAUUUCUUUUAUGUAUACAUCUAAGCUUUCUACCUAAACAGAGGUUUCUUGGGGGGGAAGAUACUUUUAUUAUUCAUAUUUUCCCUUAAUAAGUAUAUGAAUGAAUGAACAAGUGUUAAAGGAGCAAAACACCGAGAAAAGCAACAUCCCUCUCAGAAGAUGUCCACAUCACCAUCCACAGAACCUGUCAAUAUGCUGUGUUGCAUGGCAAGGGGGGGAUUAAGUUUGCAGAUUGAUGGAGUUCCCGUUGUGGCUCAGUGGUUAGCGAGUCCGACUGGGAGCCAUGGGGUUUUGGGUUCAAUCCCUGGACUCGCUCAAUGGCUGUGGGUUAAGCAUCUGGUAUUGCCGUGAGCUGUGGUGUGGGUCACAGAUGUGGCUUGGAUCCCGCAUUGCUGUGGCGUAGGCUGGCAGCAACAGCUCCAAUUGGACGCUGGCCUGGGAAUAUCCAUAUGCUGCGGUGCG
rnacentral:lncRNA from 1 species